rnacentral:rRNA from 1 species
AUACGGAGGAUGCGAGCGUUAUCCGGAUUUAUUGGGUUUAAAGGGUGCGUAGGUGGUGAUUUAAGUCAGCGGUGAAAGUUUGUGGCUCAACCAUAAAAUUGCCGUUGAAACUGGGUUACUUGAGUGUGUUUGAGGUAGGCGGAAUGCGUGGUGUAGCGGUGAAAUGCAUAGAUAUCACGCAGAACUCCGAUUGCGAAGGCAGCUUACUAAACCAUAACUGACACUGAAGCACGAAAGCGUGGGGAUCAAACAGGAUUAGAUACCCUGGUAGUCCACGCAGUAAACGAUGAUCACUAGCUGUUUGCGAUACACUGUAAGCGGCACAGCGAAAGCGUUAAGUGAUCCACCUGGGGAGUACGCCGGCAACGGUGAAACUCAAAGGAAUUGACGGGGGCCCGCACAAGCGGAGGAACAUGUGGUUUAAUUCGAUGAUACGCGAGGAACCUUACCCGGGCUUGAAUUGCAACUGAAUGAUGUGGAGACAUGUCAGCCGCAAGGCAGUUGUGAAGGUGCUGCAUGGUUGUCGUCAGCUCGUGCCGUGAGGUGUCGGCUUAAGUGCCAUAACGAGCGCAACCCUUAUCGAUAGUUACCAUCAGGUUAUGCUGGGGACUCUGUCGAGACUGCCGUCGUAAGAUGUGAGGAAGGUGGGGAUGACGUCAAAUCAGCACGGCCCUUACGUCCGGGGCUACACACGUGUUACAAUGGGGGGUACAGAAGGCAGCUACACGGCGACGUGAUGCUAAUCCCUAAAGCCUCUCUCAGUUCGGAUUGGAGUCUGCAACCCGACUCCAUGAAGCUGGAUUCGCUAGUAAUCGCGCAUCAGCCACGGCGCGGUGAAUACGUUCCCGGGCCUUGUACACACCGCCCGUCAAGCCAUGAAAGCCGGGGGUACCUGAAGUGCGUAACCGCGAGGAGCGCCCUAGGGUAAAACUGGUGAUUGGGGCUAAGUCGUAACAAGGUAGCCGUACCGGAAGGUGCGGCUG